GUCAAGGUGGGAGAGAUUGCAAGCGACGACCCAGAACUUAAGAAAGUCCAGGUUCUCGACACCCAGGCGAAAGAAGUCAGGUCGGUGCUGAAUCGAUUGCACAAGUUCUCUGUUUGGGCCAGAAUGGUGAAAGCUAUCGCCAGACUCAAACGCCAUGUGAAGGAAGUUAAAGGUCUCCAGCCAAGGUCCUGUGAAGCCACCAGUUUGGAGGAAAGGAGAGAAGCUGAGCUGACCAUAAUCAAGAUGGUUCAGGAAGCAGCUUUCUCGCAAGAAAUACCGCUACUCCAGAGUCACAAGGAGACACCAGUCAAGGGCAAGGCCAAUCUGUACCUCCGCAAGAGAUGGCGUCGAGUUCAACUACUAGCCAACCACUUCUGGACAAGAUGGAAGAAAGAAUACCUCCUGAACCUCCAGCAGAGACAGAAGUGGACCAAAGGUCACAGGAACGCAAGGGUGGAUGAUGUUGUACUCCUGCAAGAGGAUACUACACCGCGUAACCAGCGGAAAAUGGCAAAGGUCACUGAAGUGUACCCAGGAAAGGAUGGGAGGGUACGAAAGGUCAAGUUGCUCAUCAGUGACUCCACCCUUGAUGCGAAGGGAAAGCGCUCCUCCAAACCUGUCCACCUGGAAAGACCCAUCCAUAAGACGGUGACACUGGUAGAAGCAAGCUGAAGAUUCCAGUUUUUUCCUCUUUUUCUCCUCUUUCUGUCAUUCACUCCAGGUGCAGAAUGAGGUGACCAUUCUGGAAGAAGCCAAGACCAAGUUGUUGAUUUGUUUACCUUUUCUAUCCAGUAGUGAUUUUAAAAUCAUAUUCAGUACAGUUGAUAUGUUUUUGGUGGGAGUGUAACUGCAUCUGAGGUAGUAUUUCAGCUCAAAGUAUUUUUGUUCUUACCUAUUAAUGGUGAUCAAUGAGGCGGAACAUUUUUCUGUGUCGUUUCACACGGAUCCGUUUUAGUGACGGACCACCGGCAAAAAUCUCCGCUAGGAAAGGCCAGUUUUUCUAAGCUGUUGACUAGCCAAGUUAUAGUUAAAUUCUUAAGCCUUAUUAACCACCUCUCACGCCUGUAUAUGCAGCUAAUAAGUUCUCACGGUCUGUCAAGUCAAGAUAAACAGAUCAGUAACAAAAAGAACUCGAAGCUGUCUUUUAUAUACGAG